CUUCAUUUUUUCCAUGCCCCCCCUCACUCAUGUACUACAACUACUUCUUUUCAAAAUUUCAUUCUAUUUCCCUUAAGCUUAUGGGUAGGACAUAUAAGAUGUUAGGGCUACGUUUUCCUCAUUCCAAAAUAGAGCUAAACAAUAGACUCUUGCCCUGUGAUUCUAUUCUAUCUCAUGAGGAUAUAUUAUAGUGUUCUGAGAGUAGUUUUAGAAAGCCGUAUAAGCUAAAGUUUAGUACACAUUGUCGGUUGAAGCCUAUAGGAUAUAACAUAAGGCACGCUCACUCUAAACUAAACAACAACUUCAAAUCUCACAAAGUUUUUAAACUUAGGCAGACAGAGAUACAUUGUAUAAGACUGCCAUAAUGUACCCCAUUUUCAGCAGGUCAUAGUCUAGCAACCUUAUGCCUGCUUUUAUGAGAUUAACCCACUUAUUAGUGAAAUCCUCCCCCCUGAGACUCUCUGCAGUGCAAGGUUAAACAGAGCCUUGGAAUGAGACACCUAUGACAGGGAGGGGUGCAAAACAAUUGGAGUCCGAAUGAUGAAAUAUAUUUACAUAUGAAACCAGGAACACGAAUAAGGCUGCUCAUAGAACCAAAUGAUGCAGAAUGCAGCACAUCACUCAAAUAAACAAGAAUUGCUUGAUACCUUGGUGCUCCUGCACCAUAAUAUGAAUAAUAUGAAGUGUUGAACCUCAUUUAUAGCACACACCAAGCAGUGUAAAUCAUGACAGUAAC